CAGCAGCCGCGGUAACACGUAGGUGGCAAGCGUUGUCCGGAAUUAUUGGGCGUAAAGGGCUCGCAGGCGGUUUCUUAAGUCCGAUGUGAAAGCCCCCGGCUCAACCGGGGAGGGUCAUUGGAAACUGGGAAACUUGAGUGCAGAAGAGGAGAGUGGAAUUCCACGUGUAGCGGUGAAAUGCGUAGAGAUGUGGAGGAACACCAGUGGCGAAGGCGACUCUCUGGUCUGUAGCUGACGCUGAGGAGCGAAAGCGUGGGGAGCGAACGGGAUUAGAUACCCGCGUAGUCCCUGUCUCUUAUAC
rnacentral:rRNA from 1 species